rnacentral:rRNA from 1 species
CCCUUAGACGCUCUAGGCGGCACGCGCGCUACAAUGGGUGGUAGAACGUGUAACUGCUCCCGAAAGGGAGGGUGAACCACGAAUACUUACCCGUGAAUGGGAUAGUUUGUUGCAAUUUUCGGACUUGAACUAGGAAUCCCUUGUAAGAAUGCUCAAGAAUAGCGUGCUGAAUACGUCCCUGCCGUUUGUACACACCGCCCGUCGUUUCUUCCGACUGAUACUCAUUGUGAGUUGCAAGGAUUCUUAUUGAAAAAUUGCUGCGAAUGCUUUGUAUUGGAGGAAGAAAGAGUCGUAACA